rnacentral:pre_miRNA from 1 species
GUAGUAUUCCCUCCGUCCCAAAAUUCUUGUCUUACAUUUGUUUAGAUACGGAUGUAUCUAACACUAAAAUGUAACUAGAUACAUCCGUAUUUAGACAAAUUUAAGACAAGAACUUUGGGACGGAGGGAGUACAAA